rnacentral:rRNA from 1 species
GACGUAGGAGGCGAGCGUUAUCCGGAUUCACUGGGCGUAAAGCGCAUGUAGGCGGAUGUCUAAGUCGUGUGUUAAAGCCCCUGGCUCAACUGGGGGAGGUCAUGCGAGACUGGAUGACUUGAGGGCAACAGAGGCACGUGGAACUCCCGGUGUAGCGGUGGAAUGCGUAGAGAUCGGGAAGAACACCCGUGGCGAAGGCGGCGUGCUGGGUUGCAACUGACGCUGAGAUGCGAAAGCGUGGGGAGCAAACAGG